rfam:Schistosoma curassoni strain Dakar, Senegal genome assembly, scaffold: SCTD_contig0001621
AGCUUUUUGAAUCCGUGUAGGUGUUUCGUCAGACACCAACCCAUUAGGGCUGAUCAGAAUUCCAGGAUAAGUGAGGCU